AGAGUUUGAUCCUGGCUCAGAACGAACGCUGGCGGCGUGCCUAACACAUGCAAGUCGAGCGAGAAACCUCCCUUCGGGGAGGGAGUACAGCGGCGAACGGGUGAGUAAUACGUGGGUAAUCUGCCCCUGAGUCUGGGAUAACCCGGGGAAACCCGGGCUAAUACCGGAUACGGCCUGAGGGUCUUUGGAACCUCUGGAGAAAGGUGGCCUCUGCUUGCAAGCUGCCACUCGGGGAGGGGCUCGCGGCCCAUUAGCUUGUUGGUGAGGUAACGGCUCACCAAGGCAAUGAUGGGUAGCUGGUCUGAGAGGAUGACCAGCCACACUGGAACUGAGACACGGUCCAGACUCCUACGGGAGGCAGCAGUGGGGAAUUUUGGGCAAUGGGCGAAAGCCUGACCCAGCGACGCCGCGUGAGGGAUGAAGGCCCUCGGGUCGUAAACCUCUGUCAGGAGGGACGAACACCUUUCGGUGAAUAGCUGGAAGGUCUGACGGUACCUCCAAAGGAAGCGCCGGCUAACUCCGUGCCAGCAGCCGCGGUAAUACGGAGGGCGCAAGCGUUGUUCGGAAUCACUGGGCGUAAAGCGCGUGUAGGCGGUUUGGAAAGUCGGGUGUGAAAUCCCCGGGCUCAACCCGGGAAUGGCACCCGAAACUUCUAAGCUAGAGUCCCGGAGAGGAGGGCGGAAUUCCCGGUGUAGGGGUGAAAUCCGUAGAUAUCGGGAGGAACACCUGAGGCGAAGGCGGCUCUCUGGACGGUGACUGACGCUGAGACGCGAAAGCGUGGGGAGCAAACAGGAUUAGAUACCCUGGUAGUCCACGCCGUAAACGUUGCGCACUAGUGUCGGGGGAUUCACCCCUCCGGUGCCGACGCUAACGCAUUAAGUGCGCCGCCUGGGGAGUACGGCCGCAAGGCUAAACUCAAAGGAAUUGACGGGGCCGCACAGCGGUGGAGCAUGUGGUUAAUUCGAUGCACGCGAGACUUACUGGGUUUGACAUCCGGGGAUCUCCCGAAAGGAGGAGUGCCGUAGGACCCGAGAAGGUGCUGCAUGCUGUCGUCAGCUCUGUCUGAAUGUUGGGUAGUCCCGCCACGAGCCACCCUUGUCUUAUUUGCCACGGUUCGCGGCCUCUAAGGAGACUGCGCGGU
rnacentral:rRNA from 1 species